GCUCGGCUGGUCUAGUGGUAUGAUUCUCGCUUAGGGUUCACCCUGAGCUUGUUUGCGAGAGGUCCCCGGUUCAAACCCGGGGUCGAGCC
rnacentral:tRNA from 1 species